rnacentral:tRNA from 1 species
UAACUAAGUACUAUAGUACAGUUCACUUACAAUGAAAAGGUCUUUAUAUAUUAAAGAGUUAAAAA